rnacentral:rRNA from 1 species
UAAGGCUGAGACACGACGUCGAGCACCUACGGGUGUGAAGUCAUUGAUGCCAUGCUUCCAGGAAAAGCCUCUAAGCUUCAGAUUGUAAGGAAUCGUACCCCAAACCGACACAGGUGGUCGGGUAGAGAAUACCAAGGCGCUUGAGAGAACUCGGGUGAAGGAACUAGGCAAAAUGGUACCGUAACUUCGGGAGAAGGUACGCUCUCGACGGUGAAGUCCCU